UACAGAGGGUGCAAGCGUUAAUCGGAAUUACUGGGCGUAAAGCGUGCGUAGACGGUAGCGUAAGUCGGGUGUGAAAGCCCCGGGCUCAACCUGGGAAUUGCAUUCGAGACUGCUCUGCUAGGGUGCGGAAGAGGGGAGCGGAAUUUCCGGUGUAGCGGUGAAAUGCGUAGAUAUCUGGAGGAACACCGGUGGCGAAGGCGGCAUCCUGGACCGGCAUUGACGCUGAGGCGCGAAAGCCAGGGGAGCAAACGGG
rnacentral:rRNA from 1 species